rnacentral:lncRNA from 1 species
GUGGAUCAGCUAUCCCGAUUGGAGAAUCGGCCGGAUCGAGCGGGUUAGGCCUUAAAAAAUCACUAAAUAUCCUUAAAAAAUGGUGUUUUUGAGUUCAAAAAAAAUUGGGGCUGUACAAAAUGGACUUUCAUUAUUUUACAAAAAUUAAUGUAUAUUAAGAUAUUUUCUUGUCUGGAGGUAUGUUGAUUAUUGAAUAUUAUUUUGGGUUUCUAAACUCUAAAAUUCCUAUUGAAGAUAACUUCUCUCGUUAUCAAUUUUGGUGAUGGUGAGAAAACGAUCCAAGUAAGAGGGUGAAAAUGAUUUUAGUUCGGUUGAAAACUUUAUGUAGUUUUCGAAGUUUUAAUGCCUGGAGGUUUUUGGUAAUAUGCUUAUGUAUUAUUUAUUUUAAUUUCAUGUAGUUUUUUAUUUGAUGCAAUAAUUGUGUUUCAUUUUUAGCCAUACCAAUUACAUAGUCAUUGUUGAUCCACAUUUUAUCAGUCUAUUAACACCCUGAAAUAGUGUAUUUGUAAAAGCAUAUGAUUUAGUGUUAACAUAGUUGACUCCUUUUGAGAACAAAAGAAAUGGUAAAAAAAAUUUGGAAAAAGUUUAUAUAAGGUUGCAACCUUAUAAUGUAGAACUACGGAUGUGCCUAAAAAAUCCAAUGGAAAAAGUUGUUUAAAUGUUGAAAAACCAUUUGAUUGAUCAUCUUGACAUAGAGAUGUAUGACUAUGAAAAAUAAAAAGAUUUUGAGUAUCAGAAAUAGUACAUCUUACAACAUACUAUCUACACCAUCUAUUUUUAAGAUUUUCAUAUAUUUAUAGAUCUACUUGAUUUUAACUAGUUUUGAAAUUUUAAAUUUUAUAAUUAGAUAUAAAAAUAGAUUUUGAAAGAAUACUAAACAUUUUAUAUCAAAAUUAUUUGAAGGUGCACCUUACCUUUACCCCUACAGCUACGGAUGCACGGAUGCAUCCGUAUGCCAACUGCACUCUUAUAAAAUUUAACACCCUGAAAAUGUUGUCAAUAAUAUCUAUGUCAUUAGAAAAAAAAAAAGCUUUCAACAUUUUCACCAGUAAUAAAUAAAUCACUGGAUUAUAGUUAAAUGAAAAAAAAUGAGUACAAAAUAUGAACACAACAAGGUAAAAUAGGACAUUUAUAUAGCCUUUGUGAAAAAAAAUUGAUAUUAAAUACAUACAAUAGCUAUCUUUGGUAUUUUAUUAAAUAUGUUAUAGUCUAUAGUUGAGAAAAGAAGAAAAUGGCGAUGUGGAG